GCCUUUGUGGUGUAAAUGGUAGCACACUUAGCUCGUAUUCGAGAGGUCCAGAUUCGAGUCCCAGCAAGGGCA
rnacentral:tRNA from 1 species